rnacentral:rRNA from 1 species
AAGUCGAGGGGCAUCAGGAAGAAAGCUUGCUUUCUUUGCUGGCGACCGGCGCACGGGUGAGUAACACGUAUCCAACCUGCCCUUUACUCGGGGAUAGCCUUUCGAAAGAAAGAUUAAUACCCGAUGGCAUAAUUCUUCCGCAUGGUAGAAUUAUUAAAGAAUUUCGGUCAUCGAUGGGGAUGCGCUCCAUUAGCCAGUUGGCGGGGUAACGGCCCACCAAGGCGACGAUGGAUAGGGGUUCUGAGAGGAAGGUCCCCACAUUGGAACUGAGACACGGUCCAAACUCC